rnacentral:rRNA from 1 species
AAAACUUUCAACAACGGAUCUCUUGGUUCUCGCAUCGAUGAAGAACGCAGCGAAAUGCGAUACGUAAUGUGAAUUGCAGAAUUCCGUGAAUCAUCGAGUCUUUGAACGCACAUUGCGCCCUCUGGCAUUCCGGAGGGCAUGCCUGUUUGAGCGUCAU